rnacentral:tRNA from 1 species
GCUUGAGUAGCAAAGAAGGUUAAUGCUUGAGAUUUAGGAUCUUAUAUCAAAGGUUCAAAUCCUUUCUCUAGUU